rnacentral:rRNA from 1 species
UGGGGAAUAUUGGACAAUGGGCGAAAGCCUGAUCCAGCCAUGCCGCGUGUGUGAAGAAGGUCUUCGGAUUGUAAAGCACUUUAAGUUGGGAGGAAGGGCAGUAAGCGAAUACCUUGCUGUUUUGACGUUACCGACAGAAUAAGCACCGGCUAACUCUGUGCCAGCAGCCGCGGUAAUACAGAGGGUGCAAGCGUUAAUCGGAAUUACUGGGCGUAAAGCGCGCGUAGGUGGUUCGUUAAGUUGAAUGUGAAAGCCCCGGGCUCAACCUGGGAACUGCAUCCAAAACUGGCGGGCUAGAGUAGGGCAGAGGGUGGUGGAAUUUCCUGUGUAGCGGUGAAAUGCGUAGAUAUGGGAAGGAACACCAGUGGCGAAGGCGACCACCUGGGCUCAUACUGACACUGAGGUGCGAAAGCGUGGGGAGCAAACAGG